rnacentral:tRNA from 1 species
GGGCUUGUGGUGUCAACGGCAGCACGGCCGCCUUGCAAGCGGCUGGUCCGGGUUCGAAUCCCGGUGAGUCCA